rnacentral:rRNA from 1 species
UACAGAGGUCCCAAGCGUUGUUCGGAUUCACUGGGCGUAAAGGGUGCGUAGGUGGCCGGGUAAGUCUAAUGUGAAAUCUCCGAGCCUAACUCGGAAACUGCAUCGGAUACUAUCCGGCUAGAGGAAUGGAGGGGGAGACUGGAAUACUUGGUGUAGCAGUGAAAUGCGUAGAUAUCAAGUGGAACACCAGUGGCGAAGGCGAGUCUCUGGACAUUUCCUGACGCUGAGGCACGAAAGCUAGGGGAGCAAACAGG